rnacentral:lncRNA from 1 species
UCUCUCUCUCUCUCUCUCUCUCUCUCUCUCUCUCUCUCUCUCUCUCUCUCUCUCUCUCUCUCUAAGUUAGCACACCUCUCACCAGCUGGACCCAUCAAUCUCUGUGACAGGUGAUUGUCUGUCAGUCUGCUUCUUAUUGGGUGGCAUCCAGAAAAGGAAACAACAAAUUCUCAGUCAGUCAGUGAGCCCACCUCCACAGUCUGUCACUGUAUUUCUAUUGAGUGUCCCAUACAAUCCAUCCAUGUUCACAAGGUAACUUACAAGGUACUGAUAAGGAGUGAAGAAUACUUGUAAUAGUUUCUCUUUUAGCAGCUAGGCUAAAGAGUUCAGUCUGCUGUCUGCUUGAUGUCAUGCUGCCCUGUGGCGGUUGGUCCACUUUGACCCCAGCUUUAGGAGCUAGACGUCAGUGGUCGUCAAUAACAGCCCUGACUGGAGGCCCAAACAUAUCUGGACUGGUAUGUAGCAGCAUUGGUUCAGGGAGGCGUGCGACUUCAGGCCAGACAGGAUAAAUGAGAAUUUGGCAGUACGUCCAACCUGCCUCACAACCGCAGACCACGUGUAACCACUCCAGCCCAGGACCUCCACAUCUGACUUCUUCACCUACGUGAGCAUCUGAGAUCAGCCACCCGGACAUCUGAUGAAACUGACAAUUAUUUCUGUCUGUAAUAAAGCCCUUUUGUGAGGAAAGCACUCAUUCUGAUUGUCAGGUCCUAACUCCCCAGUGGGUGGGCCUAUGCCCUCUCGGGCCUAUGCCCCCCCAUGCCCACCCAUGGCGGUGCCCCUGCC